AUGCCAAAUCUUUUCAGUCUCUCUCUCUGUUACUCUAUCUAUAUACCCACUCCCUCUCUCUCUGUUACUCUAUCUAUACCCACUCCCUCUCUCUGUUACUCUAUCUAUACCCACUCCGUCUCUCUUUCACUCUAUCUAUACCCACUCCCUCUCUCUCUAUUACUCUAUCUAUUCCCACUCCCUCUCUCUCUAUUACUCUAUCUAUACCCACUCCCUCUCUCUGUUACUCUAUCUAUACCCACUCCCUCUCUCUCUUUUACUCUAUCUAUACCCACUCCCUCUCUCUCUUUUACUCUAUCUAUACCCACUCCCUCUCUCUCUGUUACUCUAUCUAUACCCACUCCCCCUCUCUCUGUUACUCUAUCUAUACCCACUCCCUCUCUCUCUGUUACUCUAUCUAUACCCACUCCCUCUCUCUCUGUUACUCUAUCUAUACCCACUCCCUCUCUCUAUUACUCUAUCUAUACCCACCCCUCUCUCUCUCUGUUACUCUAUCUAUACCCACUCCCCCUCUCUCUGUUACUCUAUCUAUACCCACUCCCUCUCUCUGUUACUCUAUCUAUACCCACUCCCUCUCUCUCUGUUACUCUAUCUGUACCGACUCCCUCUAUCUCUAUUACUCUAUCUAUACCCACUCCCUCUCUCUCUGUUACUCUAUCUAUACCCACUCCCUCUCUUUAUUACUCUAUCUAUACCCACCCCCUCUCUCUCUCUGUUACUCUAUCUAUACCCACUCCCUCUCUCUCUGUUACUCUAUCUGUACCGACUCCCUCUAUCUCUAUUACUCUAUCUAUACCCACUCCCUCUCUCUCUGUUACUCUAUCUAUACCCACUCCCUCUCUUUAUUACUCUAUCUAUACCCACCCCCUCUCUCUCUCUGUUACUCUAUCUAUACCCACUCCCCCUCUCUCUGUUUCUCUAUCUAUACCCACUCCCUCUCUCUGUUACUCUAUCUAUACCCACUCCUCUUUCUGUUACUCUUUCUAUACCCACUCCCUCUCUCUCUGUUACUCUAUCUAUACCCACUCCCUCUCUCUCUCUAUUACUCUAUCUAUACCCACUCCCUCUCUCUCUGUUACUCUAUCUAUACCCACUCCUCUUUCUGUUACUCUUUCUAUACCCACUCCCUCUCUCUCUGUUACUAUAUCUAUACCCACUCCCUCUCUCUAUUACUCUAUCUAUACCCACUCCCUCUCUCUGUUACUCUAUCUAUACCCACUCCCUCUCUCUCUAUUACUCUAUCUAUACCCACUCCCUCUCUCUCUGUUACUCUAUCUAUAACCACUCCCUCUCUCUGUUACUCUAUCUAUACCCACUCCUUCUCUCUCUGUUACUCUAUAUAUACCCACUCCCUCUCUCUCUGUUACUCUAUCUAUACCCACUCCCCCUCUCUGUUAAUCUAUCUAUACCCACUCCCUCUCUCUGUUACUCUAUCUAUACCCACUCCCUCUCUCUCUGUUACUCUA
rnacentral:lncRNA from 1 species